rnacentral:rRNA from 4 species
UUUCAACAACGGAUCUCUUGGUUCUGGCAUCGAUGAAGAACGCAGCGAAAUGCGAUAAGUAAUGUGAAUUGCAGAAUUCAGUGAAUCAUCGAAUCUUUGAACGCACAUUGCGCCCC